rnacentral:rRNA from 1 species
AGUGAACGCUGGCGGUAGGCCUAACACAUGCAAGUCGAACGGCAGCACAGUAAGAGCUUGCUCUUACGGGUGGCGAAUGGCGGACGGGUGAGGAGUACAUCGUAACCUACUUUUUCGUGGGGGUUAACGUAGGGAAACUUACGCUAAUACCGCAUACGACCUACGGGGGAAAGCAGGGGAUCUUCGGACCUUGCGCGAUUGAACGAGCCGAUGUGGGAUUAGUUAGUUGGCGGGGUAAAGGCCCAGCAAGGCGAGGAUCCGUAGCUGGUCUGAGAGGCUGAUCGCCCACAUGGGAACGGAGACACGGUCCAGACUCCUGCGAGAGGCAGCAGUGGGGAAUAUUGGACACUGGGCGGAAACCUGGUCCAGCCGGACCGCGUGGGUGAAGAAGGCCUUGGGGUUGUGAUGACCUUUUGUUGGGAAAGAACCGCAGCAGGUUAAUACCACGCUGUUCUGACGGUACUGAAAGAAUAAGCACCGGCUAACUUCGUG